GGCCGACUAGCUCAGUUGGUUAGAGCGUCGUGCUAAUAUGGUGUUCCACUUAGAACAAAUAUUAACGCGAAGGUCUUGGGUUCGAUCCCCACGUUGGCCA